UCACUGCAGCUAUCUUACCAUUACAAAGCAUUUCACCCUUCAUGUAUCCUCUUUCUGUUUGACUUCAGACACCAUUUCCCAAAUGAGGCCCCAACUUCACUGCUCAGAGCAAACACACCCACUGCUUGUCUUUGAAGCAGAUGUAACUGUAGAUUGUGUGUACAAGCCAGGCGGACCAAACCUCUGCACUUCUACCGCUGGUUACCACCUUUGUGGCCAAGAACACAGCUUCACUCAACACAAUCGAUCUAUGGGUCCUCCUGAGACACACGGACAGACGCUCAGGAAAGGUUGGCUGGGAGAAGAAAAAGAAAAGAGUGCAUGUGUGGACAGAUCGAGACAAACGACUACCACUGGCUAUAAUCACUUUGAUGUUUUAACGGUUGUCGAGGAAGACACGUUGGAGACCGAUAUAACGAUUAAAGGAGGUGGACCAGUCAAAACGUCACCUGGAUAUCAGCAGUUUGUCUGAGAGCUUAUCACAAAGCACAGUAAAAGCACCUACCUAAUGACGUCACAUGAUCCCGAACCAUGAGAAAUGCAGAUCCUGGAGUGGACAGCCAAUCCAAGGAGGAAAUGAGGAGAAGGAGCAGGAGAUUGGAGGAGGA